rnacentral:piRNA from 1 species
UUGGGUAUACGUAAUAAGCAGGGAUC